rnacentral:rRNA from 1 species
UGAAUUGACGCUGGCGGCAGGCCUAACACAUGCACGUCGAGCGGUAGAGAGAAGCUUGCUUCUCUUGAGAGCGGCGGACGGGUGAGUAAUGCCUAGGAAUCUGCCUGGUAGUGGGGGAUAACGUUCGGAAACGGACGCUAAUACCGCAUACGUCCUACGGGAGAAAGCAGGGGACCUUCGGGCCUUGCGCUAUCAGAUGAGCCUAGGUCGGAUUAGCUAGUUGGUGGGGUAAUGGCUCACCAAGGCGACGAUCCGUAACUGGUCUGAGAGGAUGAUCAGUCACACUGGAACUGAGACACGGUCCAGACUCCUACGGGAGGCAGCAGUGGGGAAUAUUGGACAAUGGGCGAAAGCCUGAUCCAGCCAUGCCGCGUGUGUGAAGAAGGUCUUCGGAUUGUAAAGCACUUUAAGUUGGGAGGAAGGGUUGUAGAUUAAUACUCUGCAAUUUUGACGUUACCGACAGAAUAAGCACCGGCUAACUCUGUGCCAGCAGCCGCGGUAAUACAGAGGGUGCAAGCGUUAAUCGGAAUUACUGGGCGUAAAGCGCGCGUAGGUGGUUUGUUAAGUUGGAUGUGAAAUCCCCGGGCUCAACCUGGGAACUGCAUUCAAAACUGACUGACUAGAGUAUGGUAGAGGGGUGGUGGAAUUUCCU